rnacentral:tRNA from 1 species
GGAUAUAUAGCUCAGUGGUAGAGCACAUGCUUAGCAUGCAUGAGGUCCUGGGCUCAAUCCCCAAUACCUCCC